UCUUUCCCUCAACACCCCAUGGCAUGGUAUGCUAUCUUAUCUCGCUGUAUACAGAUCUAAAUGUUGUUAGCCAAACAUGGACUGUGUUACCAGUUCCCAGUAACCUACAUCGGACAACCAAUAACAGUUGUGUCCAUGGCUUUCUGUCGAAUAGAGGAGUUCAUAAGCUUUCCGUGAGGGUCUUCCUCAAUCAAGUAGAAAUGUAAAAUGGUUAAGUUUAGUGUUAGUUUAGGGUAAAGAUGUCCCAAGGAAUCCGGAUAGCAGUGACCGUUCAUAGAGUUAGAGACGGACACGGUAUUUGAGAGCUCAGCCACGACACGAAAUUCAUAUGAAAUUCAUAAAAUAUAUAUGUGCAAGCGCCAGACGCAAUUUUCGAGAUAGUUUCCUAGAGACGAUGAAAAUAAUUACCAAGAUGUCAUUGAUCCGAUUGAGUAGAGAACCAAGAAAUGAAGAGCGACACCACGGCUGUCUUUUAGGCUUUUAUGUUGAUCUGCAAUAGUAUUGUGAAAAGACAGGACAGGAACACAUCAGUCUCCAAUGCACCAUCUGACCAGUUGUUCUACACAGGAGCAUGAAGAAAGACCGUAGAGGGCCAAACUACAUCUCCCAUAAUGCAACGCCAGCACCGGUCGGCAGCUCAGCUAACCGUCUACAUCACAGAAAGGCAUGCUAUGGACUUCUACAAAGGAGUCAUCUGCAACACAUCCCUUUGGCUUUGGGGUUGACCAGUGAAAUAUACCUGCUGGAGCGCAUGCUACAGGACUGCCAUGGGCAAGUCUCUUGACGUGUACCAGGAAUGGUGGGAGGCCAAUCUGAAGGUAAUUAUCUUCGCACACAACAGCAGCGUCCAGGCCUCCAGAGUACUCACCCUAUCGCCUGCUGUACGGACGGGAGCUGCAGCUGUUUACGGAGGUAAACAAUGCAAUUGUAUAUACAAUUAUUGCAUAUACUGUAGUAUAAAAAAGUGUGUUUAGUGAGUUUUGUCUAUUGCUAUUUUUGUAUAACAUACUUUGAGAUCACCGAAACUCCACCUGAUGUGGUGGAAGUUGUCAAACCAGAUCAGAAGGCCUCGAGGACCACCUUCAGGCAUGGGCUGAGAAGGAUGUGGAUCAGGUGAGACUGAACAUGGACAUAGCGCAGGAGAAACAGGAUUGCCAUUGGAGGAGAAUCAAGGGUACCAAGUGUUUCAAAAUCUGGGUGAAUGGCUUGGAAGAAGGAUGAAAGGAAGGCAAGACCUGGGAAACCUUGCUGCUAUUUUGCUCCAAGCUGGGCUCACCAUCUGUUAAGGGACCAUCCCUUACCUCCCUCAUCAACCCCACUGACAAACAAUUAGACAGGACCUAGGGGUUCUGCCCAACACCCAGACAUGGAGCCACCUGAUGUCCUCCAUUACCCACCACCCUCCAACUUUUCAUUACAUCAGCUACUGUUAUUGUCAUGUUGUCAUUAUCUGCUAAGAAAGAGCAAGAAAACUAUCAUACUGGGCACAUAAUGUGAGAUGCACAGAUUAACUAAAAACACUCGCACUGCAAACACUCAGAACAAAGAGAGCAGCAGCACCUUGACUUUGCAGUCUCCCUUCCGAGACGGACUGCCUGUUGAAAACAAGUGACAGGCAGAACCUCCCAUCCACACAGCACCCACAUCCUGUCUAUUCCACACACCAGAAUUCAGGGGGGGUAAAUGAAGUCAAAUCAUUGCAUCAGUGAUUUUAAGGUCAGAGAAAGAUGCCAGAGUUUCUGAAUUGGAAUGCCAAGUUGGACGACUGUUAAAGAACCAAAAAUCCCAGUCUGAGUUUAUUUUGUUCUGAGUUCCCAGUUGUCAUGAAAGCACUGAAGUCAGAGAUUGCCAAGUUCCGAGUUGUUUUGAUUGCGCCCCUAGAGACCGAGUGUACUUCUUAUCUCCAAAUAUGGCUAGCUCCUACAAAGAAGUCCUUGUGGCUGUAUUGAUGUGAGAAAUAGUCAUAUCUACACAGUAAAGGUGAAUGGCUGCGAUAUCAACUAGGCUAAUAUUUUUUGUACGAGGUAAUAGGCCUAUUUUAGCUAAAUCGACAAAUGAAAUUGACUAGAUUACUCUGGCAAUUAAAAAUAUUUUUGACAAAAUCAUGUAGAUGUUUGUAAGGUGUUCAUGGUGAGAUAUUUAAUAAUAAACUAAACAGACACAAACUAGCACGUGACUCAUAACACAUGUGGUCGUUUUUAAGGGCAUCCAUGGUAAGAUCUUUCAUAAGAAGCAAACUGACGUGAGGUGGUCGAUGCCACAUUACAUGACGUGUACACGUCGGCAGUUUGAUGCCUUAGAAAAAAGAAAAAAAAACUUGUUUCCAUUGACCGUUCACGUUAAUUCAUGGCGGUAUUUUAUGGCACUUAUCAUUCCCCAUAGCAGUGUCACUGCUCAAUAUGGUAGCUGCGUGAGUGGGAGAGAGAUGCCCGUGUGCUUCGUGGUUUACCGGAUCGUUUUUCUGCAGUUUUAUUGAAGAUCACUCGCGACCCACUGUAAUGAAGUGCUAUUUCCUAUGCAAAUGACCAGCUUACUGCUAUUGCAUUGCUAUAACUGAGACAACACAUAGCAACGUAUUUUCACAGUAAAACAUGGUAGGGCCCAUACAGGAUAUCUCUCACACACACACUCACUGAAAAGACACACAGACUUGCCAAGACAGGAACGCACACUUACACACACGCAGCCCCUCCCCUUCUGGAUGGGCUCCAAAGACAAAGAACUCUGUCGAGAACCAAUGGGAUACUGACACCAGGCUGGAGGAGACUGUCUAUCAUCUACAAACAACCUACCAGAAGCCAGGACUACCAGAAUCUACCUACGUCAUUUCAAUGUAUAAAAUGAACUGUACGAUAUGUGUCCGGUCUCUUUUUUCCAAUGGUUCGCAUGAGAACUUGACGAAACGGAGCCGUGCCGCACGAAUUGCCAGAUAUCAUUACUCCUGAAUAAACGGCCUUUACUAUACCGUA